CCCUUAGAUGUCCUGGGCCGCACGCGCACUACACUGACAUGUUCAACAAGUUUCUCCUAGUUCGACAGGACUGGGAAAUCUUUGAACGCAUGUCGUGAUAGGGAUAGAUCAUUGCAAUUAUUGAUCUUGAACGAGGAAUUCCUAGUAAACGCGAGUCAUCAGCUCGCAUUGAUUACGUCCCUGCCCUUUGUACACACCGCCCGUCGCACCUACCGAUUGAAUGUUUCGGUGAAGAUUCCGGAUAGGACUGAUUUGAUUUAUUUCAUUUCUGACCUAAAAGCUAUCUAAACCUCAACAUUUAGAGGAAGGUGAAGUCGUAACA
rnacentral:rRNA from 1 species